rnacentral:rRNA from 1 species
CGUGGGCGCUGGAGAACUGAGGGGGGCUGCUCCUAGUACGAGAGGACCGGAGUGGACGCAUCACUGGUGUUCGGGUUGUCAUGCCAAUGGCACUGCCCGGUAGCUAAAUGCGGAAGAGAUAAGUGCUGAAAGCAUCUAAGCACGAAACUUGCCCCGAGAUGAGUUCUCCCUGACUCCUUGAGAGUCCUGAAGGAACGUUGAAGACGACGACGUUGAUAGGCCGGGUGUGUAAGCGCAGCGAUGCGUUGAGCUAACCGGUACUAAUGAGCCGUGAGGCUUAACCUUACAACGCCGAAGGUGUUU